CUUGCACCUCCUUGCCUUCCACCAUGAUUGUGAAGCUUCCCCAGCCACGUGAAGCUAUCAGACUAUUUAUUUUCACUGUCAUGCUGUUUUAAUCACUCACUGUGGAUUUUAGAAACUACAGAUGUCAAAACUGGCAAAGCAUAGUUCUCUAAAGAAGUUGGCACAUCCUGGGACCAAAAUCAAAAAUCUCCGUUUGGAACAAAAGCAAGAACUUCCCUGGACCUAUUUUGGCACUAAGAUGAAGCACAGGAAGUAGUGAUGAAUGAGGACACUUUAGAUGUGCCAUUUUGGCAGGAAGCAACCACCUGUGAGGCAUGAUGGGAAAAGAGAAGCAGCUUUGUAAACAGCCUUGACAUUGCUGAACUUGAUUGAUUGCGGAGACAGAGAAGCUAAAAGUACCUACUUGCCAGCUUAAAACAUGACCAUGGCCCCCCUCAAAAGGAUCUACUAUGUAAAACUGAUACAGAAAGAACUUUUCUCCCUUCAUCUUGUUAUGCUUAAAGAGGUCCCCCUGCUCCUGUAACACCAAUGCCUCCACUGUGCCUACUCUCCUGCCACUGCAGGAGUCUGUUGAAUAUUCCUUCUCUUCCCUUACUCUUCAGUCUCUCCUACUGUCCCAGAUCCUUCCCAUUAGCAUGCAAUAUGCUCAAAACAAACAAACAAACAAACACUCCCCCAAACACAAAAACCAAAGAGUCUUCUUUCAAUUCUACUUACUCUUUAAUGUCAUCUUACUGUCUCCUCUCUCUCACAGGCAAACUUCUUGAAAAAAAAUUGUCUAUACACCAUAUCUUCAUUUCUUCACCUCUCACUCGUUCUUUAAGCCCCUUCAGUAUGGCCUCUGCCUACCCUUGUACUCCAUUAAUCCUCUUUUGCUUAGAUCACCAAAGACAUCCAUGUGACUAAAGCCCCUGCACCUUUUCAUGUUUCAUCUUACCUGACCUUUCCAUAGCAUUGCCUCUGGUGGCCUUUCUAUUCUUCCUGAAGAAAUUUUAUUCUUGGCUCUGCAUUGUAUUCUUCUAGGUUGUCUCUUAUUUCUGUACCUUCCUUCUCAGUCUCCUUUGCUGGGUCUGUCCCUUCUGCUUAACUAUUAAACACUUAGUUUGUU